UCGGCGACCCCACCUGUCAGGCCCUCCUCCUACCUUCGGUCUCCAGAGCAGAAGCCGCCGGCAUCCGCCAUUGCCGCCCACGUCGCCGUCGAUUCCGGUCCUCCCGCUCACGCCCUCGCGCCCAAACCGCAUAAAAUCGGUUCCCCUCCACCUCCUCUACCAAAUUCCCCACUUUUCCCCAAUUUUCGGCGCCAAAUCGAGUCCCCACUCCGCGCAUGUUGACCUCCACGUCGCCGACCGGUUGCCGCCCGAUUCCGCCCCUCUCGGCCACGAUCUCGCCACUCAAGCCCAUAUAAACACUCCCCGUAGCUUCCUCUCUCGUUUCCCCAAUUUUCCCGAUCUCCUCGCGCCCCGUACCGCUCUCCCCACGUGCGCUCUAGCUCCGCCGCUCGCCGGCGGCCUCCAGCCGGCCCCUGCCGCCACUCCCGCCAUCCCCGCGUUGCGCCGUCACCACCACCGGCUUCGCCGCUCCCCGCCGCACCCCGGCUCCACCUCUUUUCCCCGAACCACUGCCGUGAUACCAUGUCCACGCGCAGCUCGAGCGACCGCCGCCUGUACCGCCUCCAGCCGCCUUCCGCCGCCGCUCCCGUCCACGCCGACCCACGCCGUCGUCUCCCUCGGCUCCGCAAGGACAAGGAGAACCUCGACCAUCUCUUCCCAUCACCGGAAAUUCACUGGACGUCCGUUUUCCCGUGCGCCACCGCUGCUCGUCCACUCCUUCCCGAGCGCCACCCGUCGCCGGAGUGCCGCCGUCUCUCUCCGCCCCGAGCUUCGUCGGCCGCCUCCCUCCAUUGUCGUACCCAUGAUUUCGGCCGUUUCGUCGAUUCGCGGUUUCUCGAAGACGUUGCUGUGGUCUCAUCAGUGC